UUCUGCACAGCUGGACCAGACGACAAUGUAAAGUAUUUGAGGCAUACUUUUAGACACAAACAAACGUUAUCAUCUCACACCUGCCAGCGUGGAUUCAAAACAUCUGGUGGCUCUACUUGUGAAGUUGAGGGCUGGGUGCCACCGCUGUGCUCUGCAAUAACAUGUAAUCCAGAGAUUCCUAAUGCUAUCAUUCUGAGUGAAAAUAAGACUUACACAUUUGGUGAGCGUCUGGAAUAUGAAUGUAAACUUUUUCAUGAACCAGAAGGAAAGCAAUACGGAUACUGUGGCUGGGAAUGGCCUGACUGCAAAGCAAAAGAAAAUUAUUGCAAAAGACCUGAUCUAGAAAAUGGAUAUCACAUCAAUGUCAAAAGCAAUGCUUCAGUCAUUUAUUAUAGUUGCGUUUCUGGUUAUAAACCCUUCGUGGAAGGUUGGUGGGACGAAUUGACAUGCAAGAAAAGUGAAUGGUCUGACAUCCCAAAGUGC